rnacentral:lncRNA from 1 species
CCAUUUUGUUCUCAACCUAAUUUGGGCCAAAAUGCAAUAACCUUAACCUUUGGGCUAUGUUGCAAAACUUAAACUUUUGAGCUCAUUUUGUAAAAACACAAAAGUUCACUACUUCAUGUAAUCACAACUAGAACCCAAAAUUUUCAACAAAUUGAAAAACUUCAUUAAAUGAACAAAACAAUUUGUCCUUUAAUGAUUUUGGGCCUUUACGUAAUACGUAAACUUUUGGGUCAAACUAAAAAUUACACAAAAGUACCAAAACUUUAUGUAAUUGCAUAAAAGCCCCAAAAGCACCCCACUUGUAGGGUGGCCGGUUUUGGAGAGAUUGAAGCCACAAAAUUUUGAAAAAUUUUCAACAAAGUCAUAAAGCCAUGCAAGUGGAUAUAGGUUGGUGUGAAUAAAGCCAUGCAAGUGGUGUGUGUGUAAGAGAAGUACUUCUUACACACCCAUCACCAUUUCUAUCACCUUUCAAAAUUUCAAUAAAUGUUUUGUUGAUAGAUAAGUCACACCCACCAACACAAAAUAAAGACUUUAUGAAUCAUCCAAAACUUUGAAUCAAAACAUCAAACCUUUUUGUUCUUGGUAAGAACUUCAAGAACAAUGAAGAACAUCCAUGAAAACCCAUAAGAGUUCCAUGAACAUUUUCAAGCAAUAAAAAUCAAAUUUUCACUACUCAAAAUGGGGUUAACAUCCUAGGGUACUUAGGGGUUCCAAAAGUCACCUUAAAACACUUUUAACAAGACAAACAUGAACCCAAAAAAUCACCCUUUGGAUUUGGCCGAAAAUCCCCAAAAACUUGGCACCAAAUUUUAGCUCCAAAAUUCAUGCUCAUAUGAACUACAUCUACAACAUUUGAGAUGGCAAAUUUUCUAACAAAAUUUACAUUCAAAAAAGCAAGAAUAAAGCUUGUAACAUUUACAACAUUCAAAUAAAAGAUUAUGAACUACAAAACCCAAAAUGAUUCACCAACUACUAGACCUAGGCUCUGAUACCACUUGAAGGAAAUUUUGUGAAAAACAUGUUUAUUUAAGCAACAUCUAUAGCAUGCAAUUAACAAAUUAAAGGCGGAAUCAUGCUUGCAUGCACUCAAAACAAAACAUUACCCAUUAAAUUCAAAGCCUAGUAGAUUGGUUAACCUUGACUCAACUUAAAACAACAUUGGUUAGUUGAGAAAUUAUACCUUUGUAGAUUCCUCUUUGCAUAAGCAAAGGCUAAUCACCCAAAGAGAGGGCCUUCAUUCCUUGCAUCUUAGAUCUAUGGAUUUGGAUGGAUGAAAUGGUUCUCCAAGUUCCCAAAAUUGAGAACCUCUAAGUCUCUUCACCAAGGUUAUAUUGGAGAAGAAAUGAGUGACCUUGGAGUAGUAGGAUUGCUAGCUAAACCCUCCAAGGAGGCCAGCCACUUUAGAGAGAAAGGAGAGCUUAUGUUCUCAUCCUUUCCCCAAAAGAAAACCCUAAAUGAAUUUUG